GCCCCCAUCGUCUAGUGGUUCAGGACU
rnacentral:tRNA from 1 species